ensembl:lncRNA
UGUGACGGCUGUCUGUCAUUAUUUCCUGUCCUCUCAUUGGUGGGUUCAGCUCUCACACCCUCUUCUCGUAAAAGCGAAACAGCGUACUGUAGAAUGCGCUGCUGUUUGCGACACACUUCCACUGUCGAGCAGCGGAGUUACUGAGGACCAAUUCCUCACAAGAUUAGGGAACUGCGAUACUGUUCGAGAUUUAAGUGACUGCCACAAGCGCGUAUCCUUUGUUUUCAAAUGGAGCCGGAGGAGAAAAAUCCAGAGUCCAGAUAUGAGCCCCAGUCUCAUUCCUGAACUUCAUUCGAAGGUUUUCUGAAGUUCUGCUUUGGAGAACAAGUUGUAACGUGCUUUUAAAGAGUCUGGGCAGGAGUGAAGUAUACUCACAUGCUCAGAUGACAUUUUGUCAUCAUCUUCUGGAUUGCAAUAUGGUCUCUUAACCACAUGAACACCAGAGAUCAUUAUAGUAAAUCUCUGACUAAGACGAUGGGAAGUGCCUCCUCAUGAUGUGUAUGUAGAGACUGGAACUUUUCUAAGGCUUGUUCGUGAAUGACAAUGAUACACUUCUCUCCAGUUGCCUAGCAAUCUCACAACAUUGCAAUGCCCUUAUAACUACAAAGGCAUCUCAAAUAUCCGUGCCCCUUAUUGUCUGGAGAUCACGUGACUUUGCAGGUGGAAAAGGUCAGUUUGAAACAGGGGCCAAAGUGUGUGAUUGGAAUCAAGCUGUAGGUUGCCUUCUGGCCAUACGUCUGAUUAGAUCAAGCUUGAGAAUAAUGCACGAUCUGUAGAAAAGACAGAGCAAACUGAUAACACACAACCAUGCCUUUCCACAUAAACAACAGCUGUGCACUACAGAUUGGCUUUAUGAAAAUAGCUCUCUUUUUUGGCGCUUAAAAUGUCAAUCUGAUCGCUUGAAUUGCAGUUUCCCCCCAGAUACCCUGAUGCUGUUGAGCACUGCUUCGAACAUCACAGAUGUCACUGAUCUAACUUGCAUGGAAUGGAAGGGUUUAUUUGUUGGACAUUUCAACAAUUGUCUACAUGUCAUUAAAAUAAACAACUGACCAUCAGUGUCA